rnacentral:rRNA from 1 species
GACGAACGCUGGCGGCGUGCUUAACACAUGCAAGUCGAACGGAAAGGCCCUGCUUUUGUGGGGUGCUCGAGUGGCGAACGGGUGAGUAACACGUGAGUAACCUGCCCUUGACUUUGGGAUAACUUCAGGAAACUGGGGCUAAUACCGGAUAGGAGCUCCUGCUGCAUGGUGGGGGUUGGAAAGUUUCGGCGGUGGGGGAUGGACUCGCGGCUUAUCAGCUUGUUGGUGGGGUAGUGGCUGACCAAGGCUUUGACGGGUAGCCGGCCUGAGAGGGUGACCGGCCACAUUGGGACUGAGAUACGGCCCAGACUCCUACGGGAGGCAGCAGUGGGGAAUAUUGCACAAUGGGCGGAAGCCUGAUGCAGCAACGCCGCGUGCGGGAUGACGGCCUUCGGGUUGUAAACCGCUUUCGCCUGUGACGAAGCGUGAGUGACGGUAAUGGGUAAAGAAGCACCGGCUAACUACGUG